AACAGGAUUAGAUACCCUGGUAGUCCACGCCGUAAACGAUGUCGACUUGGAGGUUGUUCCCUUGAGGAGUGGCUUCCGGAGCUAACGCGUUAAGUCGACCGCCUGGGGAGUACGGCCGCAAGGUUAAAACUCAAAUGAAUUGACGGGGGCCCGCACAAGCGGUGGAGCAUGUGGUUUAAUUCGAUGCAACGCGAAGAACCUUACCUACUCUUGACAUCCAGAGAACUUAGCAGAGAUGCUUUGGUGCCUUCGGGAACUCUGAGACAGGUGCUGCAUGGCUGUCGUCAGCUCGUGUUGUGAAAUGUUGGGUUAAGUCCCGCAACGAGCGCAACCCUUAUCCUUUGUUGCCAGCGAUUCGGUCGGGAACUCAAAGGAGACUGCCGGUGAUAAACCGGAGGAAGGUGGGGAUGACGUCAAGUCAUCAUGGCCCUUACGAGUAGGGCUACACACGUGCUACAAUGGCGCAUACAAAGAGAAGCGACCUCGCGAGAGCAAGCGGACCUCAUAAAGUGCGUCGUAGUCCGGAUCGGAGUCUGCAACUCGACUCCGUGAAGUCGGAAUCGCUAGUAAUCGUGGAUCAGAAUGCCACGGUGAAUACGUUCCCGGGCCUUGUACACACCGCCCGUCACACCAUGGGAGUGGGUUGCAAAAGAAGUAGGUAGCUUAACCUUCGGGAGGGCGCUUACCACUUUGUGAUUCAUGACUGGGGUGAAGUCG
rnacentral:rRNA from 1 species